AUUGAACGCUGGCGGCAUGCUUUACACAUGCAAGUCGAACGGCAGCGCGGGCUUCGGCCUGGCGGCGAGUGGCGAACGGGUGAGUAAUGCAUCGGAACGUGCCCAGUAGUGGGGGAUAGCCCGGCGAAAGCCGGAUUAAUACCGCAUACGACCUGAGGGUGAAAGCGGGGGACCGAAAGGCCUCGCGCUAUUGGAGCGGCCGAUGUCGGAUUAGCUAGUUGGUGGGGUAAAGGCUUACCAAGGCGACGAUCCGUAGCUGGUCUGAGAGGACGACCAGCCACACUGGGACUGAGACACGGCCCAGACUCCUACGGGAGGCAGCAGUGGGGAAUUUUGGACAAAGGGCGCAACCCUGAUCCAGCCAUGCCGCGUGCGGGAAGAAGGCCUUCGGGUUGUAAACCGCUUUUGUUCGGGAAGAAAUCCUCUGGGCUAAUACCCCGGGGGGAUGACGGUACCGGAAGAAUAAGCACCGGCUAACUACGUG
rnacentral:rRNA from 1 species